GAUGAACGCUAGCGGCAGGCUUAAUACAUGCAAGUCGAGGGGUAGCAAGAUUGUAGCAAUACAAUUGUUGACGACCGGCAAACGAGUGCGGAACACGUACACAACCUUCCUACAAGUGGGGAAUAGCCCAGAGAAAUUUGGAUUAAUACCCCGUAACAUAGCGAUGUGGCAUCACAUUGCUAUUAUAGCUUCGGCGCUUGUUGAUGGGUGUGCGGCUGAUUAGAUAGUUGGCGGGGUAACGGCCCACCAAGUCUACGAUCAGUAGCUGAUGUGAGAGCAUGAUCAGCCACACGGGCACUGAGACACGGGCCCGACUCCUACGGGAGGCAGCAGUAAGGAAUAUUGGACAAUGGACGCAAGUCUGAUCCAGCCAUGCCGCGUGAAGGAUUAAGGUCCUCUGGAUUGUAAACUUCUUUUAUAAGGGACGAAAAAAGGUCUUUCUAGAUCGUCUGACGGUACCUUAUGAAUAAGCACCGGCUAACUCCGUGCCAGCCGCCGCAGUAAAAC
rnacentral:rRNA from 1 species